AAGGAGUUAGUUAAAAAAUAACAUUAGAGUGUCAAUCUAAAGUAACUAAUCAAUAGUACACCUUG
rnacentral:tRNA from 1 species